rnacentral:rRNA from 1 species
UACAGAGGUCUCAAGCGUUGUUCGGAUUCAUUGGGCGUAAAGGGUGCGUAGGCGGCGCGGUAAGUCGGAUGUGAAAUCUCGGAGCUUAACUUCGAAACUGCAUUCGAUACUGCCGUGCUUGAGGACUGGAGAGGAGACUGGAAUUUACGGUGUAGCGGUGAAAUGCGUAGAUAUCGUAAGGAAGACCAGUGGCGAAGGCGGGUCUCUGGACAGUUCCUAACGCUGAGGCACGAAGGUCAGGGGAGCAAACGGG